GUAUUCUACGCGGAUGUCUUGGUG
rnacentral:miRNA from 1 species